rnacentral:rRNA from 1 species
GCCCAACUGAUUGAACGUGCUUGCACGGACUUGACGUUGGUUUACCAGCGAGUGGCGGACGGGUGAGUAACACGUAGGUAACCUGCCCCAAAGCGGGGGAUAACAUUUGGAAACAGAUGCUAAUACCGCAUAACAAUUUGAAUCGCAUGAUUCAAAUUUAAAAGAUGGCUUCGGCUAUCACUUUGGGAUGGACCUGCGGCGCAUUAGCUUGUUGGUAGGGUAACGGCCUACCAAGGCUGUGAUGCGUAGCCGAGUUGAGAGACUGAUCGGCCACAAUGGAACUGAGACACGGUCCAUACUCCUACGGGAGGCAGCAGUAGGGAAUCUUCCACAAUGGGCGCAAGCCUGAUGGAGCAACACCGCGUGAGUGAAGAAGGGUUUCGGCUCGUAAAGCUCUGUUGUUAGAGAAGAACGUGCGUGAGAGCAACUGUUCACGCAGUGACGGUAUCUAACCAGAAAGUCACGGCUAACUACGUGCCAGCAGCCGCGGUAAUACGUAGGUGGCAAGCGUUAUCCGGAUUUAUUGGGCGUAAAGCGAGCGCAGGCGGUUUGAUAAGUCUGAUGUGAAAGCCUUUGGCUUAACCAAAGAAGUGCAUCGGAAACUGUCAGACUUGAGUGCAGAAGAGGACAGUGGAACUCCAUGU